UUGGACUGCGGGGGAUACUGUUCGGCUAGGGGACGAGAGAGGCAGACGGUAUUCCCAGGGUAGGGGUGAAAUCCUAUAAUCCUGGGAAGACCACCAGUGGCGAAGGCUGUCGGCUAGAACGCGCCCGACGGUGAGGGAUGAAAGCUGGGGGAGCGAACCGGAUUAGAUACCCGGGUAGUCCCAGCUGUAAACGAUGCAGGCUAGGUGUCAGGGCGGUCACGUGCCGCUCUAGUGCCGCAGGGAAGCUGUUAAGCCUGCCGCCUGGGGAGUACGGCCGCAAGGCUGAAACUUAAAGGAAUUGGCGGGGGAGCACCACAAGGGGUGAAGCUUGCGGUUUAAUUGGAGUCAACGCCGGAAAUCUCACCGGGGGCGACAGCAGGAUGAAAGCCAGAUUAAAGGUCUUGCCAGACAAGCUGAGAGGAGGUGCAUGGCCGUCGCCAGUUCGUGCCGUGAGGUGUCCUGUUAAGUCAGGCAACGAUCGAGACCCGCAUCCCCCGUUGCUAUUGGCCUUGAGCCAAGCACAACUGGAGAGACUGCCGCCGACAAGGCGGAGGAAGGAGCGGGCCACG
rnacentral:rRNA from 1 species